rnacentral:rRNA from 1 species
AGCAGCCGCGGUAAUUCCAGCUCCAAUAGCGUAUAUUAAAGUUGUUGCAGUUAAAAAGCUCGUAGUUGAAUUUCGAGAUCAAUUUGUGGGUCGUGCCUCGGUACGUACUGGCAUUAUUGAUUUCUCCCUUCUGAAGAACCGCGAUGUCAUUAAUUUGGUGUCGUGGGGAAUCAGGACUGUUACUUUGAAAAAAUUAGAGUGUUUAAAGCAGGCUUACGCUUGAAUACAUUAGCAUGGAAUAAUGAAAUAGGACGUUUGAUUCUAUUUUGUUGGUUUCUAGGAUCGACGUAAUGAUUAAUAGGGAUAGUUGGGGGCAUUAGUAUUCAAUUGUCAGAGGUGAAAUUCUUGGAUUUAUUGAAGACUAACUACUGCGAAAGCAUUUGCCAAGGAUGUUUUCAUUAAUCAAGAACGAAAGUUAGGGGAUCGAAGACGAUCAGAUACCGUCGUAGUCUUAACCAUAAACUAUGCCGACUAGGGAUCGGAUGAUGUUAAUUUUUUAAUGACUCA